GUUAUUUGAGGAUAGAAAGUGGCAGCUAUCACGCCAGAGAUGGUCUUAAAAGCAGAUGUAGGGUACGCCGUCCUACCAAUUAAC
rnacentral:ncRNA from 12 species